AACAAAAUGGAGUCUCUUAUGUCUACUUUCUACACAGACACAGUAACAAUCUGAUCUCUCUUGCUUUUCCCCACACUGAUGAACGUGAAUUUGAGGGGACACCAUUCAACCCACAGCAGAGCCCCACCAUCACCUCUCUGCACAGGUCACCCUGCCUGUCUUUCCUCUUCAGAACCAAGACAGAGCCAAGAGUGAUUUCUUGAAAUGAAACUGCAUCCUCUCAUCCCAAUAAGGCAUGGCCUCACUAGUGGGAGAUGAGCAAAUGAAAGCCUCCCUCAGGAUGGGCAUCCACACGUCCAGGGGAUACUCCCCCAAUUUUUUUUCCUGGUUUAUAAAGGUGCUUCAGGACUUCUUGGCUCCUGGCCGAUACCUUAGUGCUUCCUGAAGGGGAAAUAGCCCUCCAAACCAUUCAGUGGGCCAUCCCAGACCAAGUUUUCUGACCCAGACAUUGAAACAGGAGGAGUAACCUUAUCCCCCUUGCAGGGCAAGCUACAGGGGCAUGGCUCGCUUCUCAGUACCCUGCUGCUCAAACCCCUAGAGGGAGCAUGCAGACGGGCAUGUCGUGGGGAGCGUUUCUGGGCUCUGGCCCCACAGCAGCGUGUGGAAUUCAGUUCGGGGUGUUUACAGCUCCCGAAGCCCCAGUGGGCAUGUGUUACAGAGGUCUCCUUCAGUUUUGUCAUCUGCAGGUGGCUUGUGUUAAUCAGCUCAAUUAGGCCCUCUGCCUUAUCACAAAGACAGAGGGCUUUCUGUAUCCCGGGUUCUUGCCCUAGUGUACUUGAAAAAUCAGAUCGCAUGUGGACUUGGAGAAUGAAUGCAAGAUUUUAUUGAGUGGAGGAGGUGGCUCUCAGAUGGAUGGGGAGCCAGAAGGCGGAUGCAAUGGGAAGGUGGUCUUCCCCUAGAGUCGGGCUGCCUAGCAGCCAGACUCUCCUCCGACAGCCCCCAACUGAAUUCCACAUCUCCCCACUGUCAAAAGCCUGCCAGCAUCUGCUGAUGUCUGUCGGUGUGCUCUUCUGCUUCUCUCCUCCUCUCAAUGUCCAGCCACUUGUGUCUGUGCCCACUAGGGUCUUGGGUUUUUUAUGGGCACAGGAUGGGGGUCAUAGCAGGCCAGAGUAGUCUUGGAAAAUGCAACAUUUGGUCAUGAAAACAGGAGUGCCAGUUCUCACUAAGGUCCAAAGGCACAAGCCCAAGGGUGGAGCCCUAGCCAGGGACUCCACCCUUCUCUACCCAGCACUCCCCUGCCACCCUUCCAUAUCAACAUGAAAGCUGACAUUGGCUCCUGUGCCCCACCUCUGGGCCUGGUUUUGUGACCUCUGCACCAGAGCUGCUAGGGAGGCCCUACCCCACAUGUUGUUAACUCAAUAGCCCUUCCCCAGGGGAACCAAUGUCCUCCUGUCCCCAAACCCAAGGAGGAGUUGUGGGUUCCUGGGCCUCUUGUAACCCGACUGAAUAUUUUCCAGGUUACCUAACCAAACUCCUGCAAAACCACACCACCUAUGACUGUGAUGGGGACUAUCUGAAUCUACAGUGCCCUCGGCAUUCUACGAUAAGUGUCCAAUUGGCAUUUUAUGGGCAAGAUUACCAAAUGUGUAGUUCCCAGAAGCCUGCCUCCCAGAAGGAAGAUAGCUUAACCUGUGUGGCAUCCACCACCUUCCAGUUCCCAAGAACAUACUCAAAGUGAUUGAUCCAGCCAUUGUUAAUCUAAAACCUUUGAAGCAGAAAGAUGCUGAAUAUGGUAUGAACUUUGACCCAAGCGAAUCGAAGUUUCUGAGGAAAGAUGGAAUUCUUGUUAGCGACUCUCUGGCAGCCUUUGCUUACAUUAGAGAUAGGUCAAUGAAUCAAAGCUUCCUAGAAUGCUGAUGGAUUUACUAAAGUGUUGUUCAUAAAUGUGCUGUUCAAUUAUAACACUCAGAGGACUAAAGGACAAUGACUUCAAGUUUGACAUGCCAACCACCGCUUCUAAGAUUCAGAAACACAGAGGCCUGAGUUCAGGCACAGUCGCAAUCAGGCAGUCAGCAAGAGAACCACAUAAACAGACAAAGUCACACUAUUUAGGAGUUGAGCUCCACAGAUAUUGUUCGCUUUUGAAAAGUAGAAACCCGAGGAAUGCAUUUCCCAGCUCUAAAAUUUGGGAAGGAACUAGAAUUAUUGAAUUCCAACCCUGGCUGGAAGAAAAAUGAGCCAGAAGGUCACUUAGUAAACAAGACAGAUGAUGACCCAUGAAGACAGAACCAGUUUCUGGGUCAUGAGUGUUAUUCCUAAUGGUUGCCAAGGUUUCCCUUGUUAGUCUUCCCCAUGAGGAUCAAUCAAACUCAGCCCUCGUGAAUUAACAGAGCCAAAAGGCUUAUACCAAAGCCGGCCACACCACGGGGACCUCUUCAUUGAGGGGAAGGUAUGUACAAUUUUUCCUCACCACACUCUCUGCUUAUCUUAAGAUAGAAUGCAUUUUGGAAUGUCAUCUGCAAGUUUCAGCAAUGCCUGCCUAUGUUCAGAGAGACAAAAACCAGAGACUUUCAGUAAAAUACAUGUUAAUGUAACACAUAACAGUAUUACUAUUCAAGGCCUGCAAAGAUAGGGCUAUUCGGGGUAAGCCUGUCUCAGAGGAAAAUAGAGGCUUAGGGAAUGUAUUUGUCUGUUCUCAUGCUACUAAUAAAGACAUACCUGAGGCUGGGUAAUUUA